rnacentral:lncRNA from 1 species
AGAAAGACUGGCACCUGCAGUGAACUUCAGAAUUUUCUUUAUUUUUCUUUUUUUGACAGGUGAGUGUGACUAUGCUGCCUGGAGAAUUUCUUGCCUGGCGCUCUCUGCAGCUUCCACCUGGCUCUGAGGUCCGUAUCCUGCCUCCAGCAGUAUCUGCACAAGCCCCUACUUUUGGAGCGGUAUGGAUCUUCUGCCAGCUUUCGGCCUCCUUCAAAUGCACGGCCUGUCAGCUCCUCACGACUCUGCUUGAAGCUGUAGUGCUGAAACUGGGACACCAGCUGAAUGCUCCUUUUGGACCUCCACUCCACUGCAGGCAAGUACCCUGACCUUUGCUGUGGAGCCAGUCCUGCUGGCUCACUUAAUAUAAAGCUCAAAAUCUGCAGCAGGAGGACCCAGGCAUCCCCACAGUGACUCUGGAAUGUGGUUUUGGGCACCAUCCUAGGAGGUGGAAGAAAUGGACUCAGAUCUCUUCAGGCAGAAAAGGGGGCUGAUUCCAGCAUUUCACACACCUUGGGUGAGAGCUCUAACUACUACUGGGUAGAAAAAUUCCUGCCAUUCUGAG